rnacentral:lncRNA from 1 species
GUUAGUUCAGGGCUAAUCUUCCUUAAAAAAAAACAAAGAAAAAGAAAAGUUAAGAUUUGAGAGGUGCCUAAAAGAAAAGUUUCUACAGAAGUCUGUUAAGUUUAUGCCUUUAUGAACACUUUCAUAGGAGUUAUAACUGAACUGCUUUCUGUUUUUGCAGGUUGACAUACCAAGGAGUGCAGUCAGCAGCCGCCCCAUUUCUAUGGAAUCAGCCUACAUUUUGGUUUCAAGUCUGGGCACGCUGCCUGACGGACAGGUACCACUGGCCGCCACCAGGCUCCGCUUUUUCUACCCUUGGAUGAAAUGGGAGACACAGGCAUUCAUUUCUAGCUGGAAUGCCCAGGCACAGAGACGCACACUCUCCACCGGCCUCCCUGCCGAGGACUUUCCUCGAAUGAGUCACCAGCCCUGAGGGCAGCGAAGUCCGAAGAGUCGUUCGUAAGGAAGCACGGCCUCGCCCGGCGUGAGAAAUCGCCCGGGCAACGACGGCCCCUUAGGAGGCCUCUGCCCACCCCGCCCUCCCGAGUCUGCAGUCUCCGUGGUCGCUGCGGGACUUUCCCCAACACGCCAGCAUGGCAGGAACCAGUUUCCCGGCUGCUGUUCGGCAGUGGUUUGAAAACUCUAAGCGUCACCGGGGCCUGUUUCCAGGGCCGUUUAGGUAGCCCCAUCUUG